rnacentral:rRNA from 1 species
AUGUGCCGAAAGGUGAAAGAUUUAUUGCCUAGAGAUGAGCUCGCGUCUGAUUAGCUAGUUGGUGUGGUAAGAGCGCACCAAGGCGACGAUCAGUAGCUGGUCUGAGAGGAUGAUCAGCCACACUGGGACUGAGACACGGCCCAGACUCCUACGGGAGGCAGCAGUGGGGAAUUUUCCGCAAUGGGCGAAAGCCUGACGGAGCAAUACCGCGUGAGGGAGGAAGGCUCUUGGGUUGUAAACCUCUUUUCUCAGGGAAUAAGAAAGUGAAGGUACCUGAGGAAUAAGCAUCGGCUAACUCCGUGCCAGCAGCCGCGGUAAUACGGAGGAUGCAAGCGUUAUCCGGAAUGAUUGGGCGUAAAGCGUCCGCAGGUGGCACUGUAAGUCUGCUGUUAAAGAGCAAGGCUCAACCUUGUAAAGGCAGUGGAAACUACAGAGCUAGAGUACGUUCGGGGCAGAGGGAAUUCCUGGUGUAGCGGUGAAAUGCGUAGAGAUCAGGAAGAACACCGGUGGCGAAAGCGCUCUGCUAGGCCGUAACUGACACUGAGGGACGAAAGCUAGGGGAGCGAAUGGGAUUAGAUACCCCAGUAGUCCUAGCCGUAAACGAUGGAUACUAGGCGUGGCUUGUAUCGACCCGAGCCGUGCCGGAGCCAACGCGUUAAGUAUCCCGCCUGGGGAGUACGCACGCAAGUGUGAAACUCAAAGGAAUUGACGGGGGCCCGCACAAGCGGUGGAGUAUGUGGUUUAAUUCGAUGCAACGCGAAGAACCUUACCAAGACUUGACAUGUCGCGAAUCUUCUUGAAAGGGAAGAGUGCCUUAGGGAGCGCGAACACAGGUGGUGCAUGGCUGUCGUCAG